UUUUACGAUCCGAAGACCUUCAUCACUCACGCGGCGUUGCUCCGUCAGGCUUUCGCCCAUUGCGGAAGAUUCCCUACUGCUGCCUCCCGUAGGAGUCUGGACCGUGUCUCAGUUCCAGUGUGGCCGAUCACCCUCUCAGGUCGGCUACGUAUCGUUGCCUUGGUAAGCCGUUACCUUACCAACUAGCUAAUACGGCGCAGGUCCAUCUAUAAGUGAUAGCAAAGCCAUCUUUYACUAUCGAACCAUGCGGUUCGAAAUAUUAUCCGGUAUUAGCUCCGGUUUCCCGAAGUUAUCCCAGUCUUAUAGGUAGGUUACCUACGUGUUACUCACCCAUCCGCCGCUAACRUCAAAGGAGCAAGCUCCUCGUCUGUUCGCUCGACUUGCAUGUAUUAGGCACGCCGCCAGCGUUCAUCCUGAGCCAGGAUCAAACUCU
rnacentral:rRNA from 1 species